rnacentral:misc_RNA from 1 species
UGGUUCUGGCAUCGAUGAAGAACGCAGCGAAAUGCGAUACGUAAUGUGAAUUGCAGAAUUUAGUGAAUCAUCGAAUCUUUGAACGCACAUUGCGCUCCCUAGUAUUCUGGGGAGCAUGCCUGUUCGAGCGUCAUUUCGACCCUCAAGCGCUAGCCGCUUGGUAUUGGGGCCCGCCGUGGCGGGCCCUGGAAUUCAUUGGCAGAGCUGGUCAGCAGUCUGAGCGUAGUAACUUAAAACCUCGCUUUUGAAGGCCUCCAGCCCCUCGCCGUAAAACUUAUCUUAUAUCUAGUUUGACCUCGGAUCAGGUAGGAAUACCCGCUGA